CGUCUAAUCAAGAGUUAUUACACAUUGCACAGCCAAAAAGCUAUCAAGUAGUUAAAUUAUAAGAGGAUUUGGUUUCAAACAAACUAGACUCCAAUGACAAAGAACUAACCAUAAACAUCUCUUCGUUCAGACUUGUCAAUUUAGUUCACUAACCUUCAAUUAAGUUAAUAAACGAUUUCGUUCGAAACCAACUACAAGAACAAACGUACUAAACAAUAUACUUUUUUGCAAAAAGGUUACAUAUGGUAUGAGAACACACCAUAAAACUCGAAUGAGUAAAUCACUACGCAUACGUCGUUUUCUAACAAAUCUUGUAUUCUACCAAUCAUUUGAAAAAUAAUGCUAUUAGAACACACCAUAAAUCACCAAGUUACAAAACGAAUACUGAGUUACCAAAAAUGAUAAACCCUAUAAACACUGAACUUCGAAACACGAAUUCUCAAAUCUACAAAGAUAACCAAAACACCAAAAUCAUAAACCAAUAUGGUGACAAUUGAAAUCAACGAGAAAGCAAGCUAAUGAAACCCGG
rnacentral:lncRNA from 1 species